rnacentral:rRNA from 1 species
UACGUAGGGUGCAAGCGUUGUCCGGAAUCAUUGGGCGUAAAGCGCGUGUAGGCGGACUGGAAGGUCUGGUGUGAAAGCCCGGGGCUCAACCCCGGAGGGUCAGUGGAAACGGACAGUCUCGAGUCCGGAAGAGGAGAGUGGAAUUCCUGGUGUAGCGGUGGAAUGCGCAGAUAUCAGGAGGAACACCUAUGGCGAAGGCAGCUCUCUGGUACGUGACUGACGCUGAGACGCGAAAGCGUGGGGAGCGAACAGG